GAACGUGUGGCUUAGUUGGCCAUAGCGCUUGGACGGUUUCCAAUAGGCGCGGGUUCAAAUCCUGCUACGUUCA
rnacentral:tRNA from 1 species